rnacentral:rRNA from 2 species
GACGAACCGAGCGAACGUUGUUCGGAAUCACUGGGCUUAAAGGGCGCGUAGGCGGGCUGCCAAGUUUGGGGUGAAAUCCACCGGCUCAACCGGAGAAGGGCCUCGAAUACUGGCGGUCUGGAGGGAGGUAGGGGCGUGCGGAACUAACGGUGGAGCGGUGAAAUGCGUUGAUAUCGUUAGGAACUCCGGUGGCGAAGGCGGCACGCUGGACCUUUUCUGACGCUGAGGCGCGAAAGCCAGGGGAGCGAACGGG